rnacentral:rRNA from 1 species
CGGAGGGGACCCAUCAACUUGGAUUUUGUAAGUAGUUGCGAAUGAACACAAAUUUGAUCACUUUGGCAAUCUGUACACAUUGCUGUGUAACAAUUUGUAUACGUUGGCACAGUGCUAUCAAAGCUGCAUGCAAGUGUUUUUUGAAAGGAUACAACAUGGGAUGUGAUAUUCAUGUGUGUGUGCCUGCUUUGUCCACAGCCUGUGCUGUAUGAAUCACAUUUCUUGCAACUGAAAUGCUAAUGGCAUGGUAAAGUUCUGUGACAUGACACAAGCUUGAGAUUCAUGAUGUGCAAGUACCAUGAGGGAAAUGUGAAAAGGACUUUGGAAAGAGAAUUAAAUAAAGCCUGCAUUUGCUGACAAUGAAAGCAAGUGUGGAUGUUCAUGUAAUUGUUACUGCAUCAAUCAAUGUUCAUCUUGGUUACUGCAUGCUUUAUAUUACAGCUCAGAACAUGAAGUGUGUGUAACAGCUCUGCUUUGAUUUUUCCCACAUGGGAUCAGUUGAAACAUUGUGAGAGCACUCUUCAGUUUCCUUAUGUACCCACAGCUUUGUCCACUCGCGUGUUGGCACACAUGUAAUGAUGAUGUGUUUAUGCAAGAUACUUCUGUGCUCAACAACAUGUUGAGUCCGCUUCCUCU